rnacentral:rRNA from 1 species
UAGGGAAUCUUCCACAAUGGACGAAAGUCUGAUGGAGCAACGCCGCGUGAGUGAUGAAGGGUUUCGGCUCGUAAAAACUCUGUUGUUGGAGAAGAACAGGUGAUAGAGUAACUGUUAUCAUCUUGACGGUAUCCAACCAGAAAGCCACGGCUAACUACGUGCCAGCAGCCGCGGUAAUACGUAGGUGGCAAGCGUUGUCCGGAUUUAUUGGGCGUAAAGCGAGCGCAGGCGGUUUUUUAGGUCUGAUGUGAAAGCCUUCGGCUUAACCGGAGAAGGGCAUCGGAAACCGGGAGACUUGAGUGCAGAAGAGGACAGUGGAACUCCAUGUGUAGCGGUGAAAUGCGUAGAUAUAUGGAAGAACACCAGUGGCGAAGGCGGCUGUCUGGUCUGUAACUGACGCUGAGGCUCGAAAGCAUGGGUAGCGAACAGGAUUAGAUACCCUGGUAGUCCAUGCCGUAAACGAUGAGUGCUAAGUGUUGGAGGGUUUUCCG